GUUUUUUGGAGGUGCCUUUGUGCUGAUGAUAAUAGGCACCUUAGAGACCUGCCUGUUGAUGCAGCUGAAGGAGAGAAACCCUCCGCUCGCUUUAGUCAAGGUCAUGAGGCUUCUCACAUGCUUCAGGACAGAUUUCCCGACUGCAGAGACUCCGGAGGAAGCAGAUGGCAAGGCCACCGAGCCACUUGGAAAGGAAGAUACAGAAGUACCCAUGCUUGCAGGGAGAACUCGGCCUGAGCAGCGAACGGGGAACAAAGCAACGCCUCGGGAGUGUGAGUGGGCUCUGCUACUUUUGGAGAAGCUGUUUCUCUAUGGGCACUUGCUCUUAUCGCUGCUGCAUUUAACUUACAUUGUGGUAAAAUGGAACAGUUAGUUAUGGGCCAGCUGCCUCUUCCAGUCUUCUUACAGAGCUAGCCCUUAAUCGUCUUUACUACAACCUGCCUGAGAGCUCUUCCUCCUUUUUUUGUGCUUGAAUUGCUAAGCUGUGAACUAUAUUGUCCAAAGUAGAUCAGAAAUUCUUCAGGACAAUUACCUUGUUCUUGCAAGCUUGCCAAAGCUGCAUAUAGGACCAGGGCAUCCCCUAGACAAACAAGUUACAGAAAUUAGACCUCAUCAUGAAGCUGGCUAGAUAUCACAGCUCACAGGGGAGCUGCUGGAAAUCUCUCUUUCGUAUAGCGCCAGAUAUCGACUUCCAAAUCUAUGAGCCACUGUCUGGUAUUAUUGGUCAAUGUCCAGACUAUCUGCCCUGCCUGAGCAUUUGUAAAGAUUACAGCUUUUGAUUAAGUGCUGUGCUGUUUGCUGGACACCACAUCCACACAGGGAGCCAUCCAAGAUGUUCCUCUUGUAAAGUGCUGGUUUUGAAGCAUCCGUAUCUAGAUCCAUUUGUUCAGCUUGAUCCAUGCUUCUCUGUUAAGGUCAUGCCCAAGCAAGCAGGGACUCAUUUAUGUCAAAAGCAGUCUGAACUGCACUCUUACUUGGGGGGGGGACGGGGGAAGAUCAUCAAAGGGAAAGGUACAGAAAUCCCAGCUAGUAUGUUUUUUUUAUAAGCAAACACACAUUAUGAACCUGACUCCUUUUGUAGACCACUGAAGCAUUUGGCUAUUAAUACUAAAAGGCACUAAUGGGAUUUCUAGAUGGUCCAGGUCUAUAACAAAAGGUGAUAAUAGGUCCAGCUAUUACCAAGGAAACCCCAGCACUCUCUCUCUGCUGGGGCAUCUCCUGCUUGGUUUUCCACCACUUUCACAUAAUUUCUAGAACAAAAACAUGCCCGGGUCGUUACAGGCACCCUCCAGAGCACCAGUCCAGCACAUUUGCUCGGCUAAAUGAUCAGAAGGACCUUCCAUCCCUGCCAGAGCGCGGUGCCUCCCAUGAUUUUGUGUUAUCCAUCCCUUGCUAAAAGAGCAUGGGAUAACACAGCACCCUCCAUUUACAAACAUACUGCAUAAUGGAGACUGUAGAAAGCUCUAACCUGCUCCCUAGCAAUAUAUUAUAGCAGUUGCUUGCGCUUGCUUUGUUAGACUUGAGGUGAGAGAAGUGGCAAAGGAAAUGAGCAGGUGAGAGGCAAAAAUUCAGAAGGCAAGAGUAAGAUUAAGAGAAGUCCUCGCAGAGUCACUUAGUCAUUUAGUGAUUUUUAUACCAGUUAGAUCUGACACAUAUAGACGCACCUUCUAUAGGCAAAUAAAAUAAAUAGGAAUUUCUGAUUGAGUUGCA
ensembl:lncRNA